GAGUUUGAUCAUGGCUCAGAUUGAACGCUGGCGGCAUGCCUUACACAUGCAAGUCGAACGGCAGCACGGGAGCUUGCUCCUUGAUUCAGCGGCGGACGGGUGAGUAAUGCCUAGGAAUCUGCCUGGUAGUGGGGGACAACGUUUCGAAAGGAACGCUAAUACCGCAUACGUCCUACGGGAGAAAGCAGGGGACCUUCGGGCCUUGCGCUAUCAGAUGAGCCUAGGUCGGAUUAGCUAGUUGGUGGGUAAUGGCUCACCAAGGCGACGAUCCGUAACUGGUCUGAGAGGAUGAUCAGUCACACUGGAACUGAGACACGGUCCAGACUCCUACGGGAGGCAGCAGUGGGGAAUAUUGGACAAUGGGCGAAAGCCUGAUCCAGCCAUGCCGCGUGUGUGAAGAAGGUCUUCGGAUUGUAAAGCACUUUAAGUUGGAGGAAGGGCAGUAAGUUAAUACCUUGCUGUUUUGACGUUACCGACAGAAUAAGCACCGGCUAACUCUGUGCC
rnacentral:rRNA from 1 species